rnacentral:rRNA from 1 species
GACAGAGGAUGCAAGCGUUAUCCGGAAUGAUUGGGCGUAAAGCGUCUGUAGGUGGCUUUUUAAGUCCGCCGUCAAAUCCCAGGGCUCAACCCCUGAAUGCGGGUGGAUACUGCUGGGCUAGAGUCCGGAAGAGGCGAGUGGAAUUCCUGGUGUAGCGGUGAAAUGCGCAGAUAUCAGGAGGAACACCGAUGGCGAAGGCAGCUCGCUGGGACGGUACUGACGCUGAGGCGCGAAAGCGUGGGGAGCAAACAGG